UCACAAAACGCAAUAUUGUAAACUGACGGCUUGGACAGAUCACAAGAGAAAGCGGUUGAAAUGCGCAUUCAUGAUUGUGGCAAGUAAAAGAGGGUGAGAUGUCUUUGCCACUAUAACUAAAACUGCAUUUGGGGAAUGUAAGUCAACUGUACCAGAGCCCCACUCGAUUCUGAUUACCCAGGGGAUUCCGCUAUUGAAGAUUUUCCCACCAGCCUGGUCGACUGGAAUAUAAAGUUUCUCCUUUCUGUGGCCCUGUUUAAUGAUCUCCUUCCAGCUGCC